CUUUACUUAGUACCGACAAAUAGGAACAUUAUCAAUCCCGUUUAAUCGAUGAUCAACAUUAUACAUAUGAAUUUCCUAUUCGUUCUCUAUGCAAUACACAUGUUGUCUUUUUUCUAUCGCUACAAGUUCACUUGAUAGAUUAAAUAUUAUGUCUCUCUUGUACUUAAUUGAAUGUGUUAUGUUUUUCUCUCUUAAAAUGCCAUGACAUGUUAGUUUGAGUGUCUAUGAAGUAUCGGA